rnacentral:rRNA from 1 species
GACGAACGCUGGCGGCGUGCUUAACACAUGCAAGUCGAACGAAGAGCGAUGGAAGCUUGCUUCUAUCAAUCUUAGUGGCGCACGGGUGAGUAACGCGUAAUCAACCUGCCCUUCAGAGGGGGACAACAGUUGGAAACGACUGCUAAUACCGCAUACGAUCUAACCUCGGCAUCGAGGAAAGAUGAAAGGUGGCCUCUAUGUAUAAGCUAUCACUGAAGGAGGGGAUUGCGUCUGAUUAGCUAGUUGGAGGGGUAACGGCCCACCAAGGCGAUGAUCAGUAGCCGGUCUGAGAGGAUGAACGGCCACAUUGGGACUGAGACACGGCCCAGACUCCUACGGGAGGCAGCAGUGGGGAAUCUUCCGCAAUGGACGAAAGUCUGACGGAGCAACGCCGCGUGAGUGAUGACGGCCUUCGGGUUGUAAAGCUCUGUUACUCGGGACGAAAGGCCUUCUUGCGAAUAGUGAGAAGGAUUGACGGUACCGGAAUAGAAAGCCACGGCUAACUACGU